GCCCCGGUAGCCCAACGGCAGAGGCAGGCGACUUAAACUCGCCCGAGUCUGGGUUCGAGUCCCAGUCGGGGCA
rnacentral:tRNA from 1 species